rnacentral:rRNA from 1 species
AGAGUUUGAUCCUGGCUCAGGAUGAACGCUGGCGGCGUGCCUAAUACAUGCAAGUCGAACGAGAUGCUUUUGUAGCAAUACGAGAGUAUUCUAGUGGCGAACGGGUGAGUAACGCGUUGGUGACCUACCCCAAAGUGUGGGAUAACAGUCCGAAAGGACUGCUAAUACCGCAUGUGGUCAUUGGGUUUAGAAACCGGUGACUAAAGGAGCAAUUCGCUUUGGGAGGGACCUGCGUCCCAUCAGCUAGUUGGUGAGGUAAUGGCUCACCAAGGCGACGACGGGUAGGGGACCUGAGAGGGUGACCCCCCACAAUGGAACUGAAACACGGUCCAUACACCUACGGGUGGCAGCAGUAGGGAAUAUUGCUCAAUGGGCGAAAGCCUGAAGCAGCAGCGCCGCGUGUGUGAUGAAGGCCUUCGGGUCGUAAAGCACUUUUCUGGGAGAUGAGAAAGGACAGUAUCCCAGGAAUAAGUCUCGGCUAACUACGUGCCAGCCGCCGCGGUAAUUC